rnacentral:rRNA from 1 species
UACGGAGGUUGCAAGCGUUGUUCGGAAUAACUGGGCGUAAAGGGAGCGCAGGCGGUAUGACAAGUCUAAAGUGGAAGCCCGAGGCUUAACUUCGGAAGUGCUUUGGAUACUAUCGUACUUGAGUUCGUGAGAGGAAAGCGGAAUUCCAGGUGUAGCGGUGAAAUGCGUAGAUAUCUGGAGGAACACCGGUGGCGAAAGCGGCUUUCUGGCACGAUACUGACGCUGAGGCUCGAAAGCAUGGGGAG